GUGGCACCAAACAUACAGCAGACAAAAUAAGUAAUGAGUCAGACCAUAAGCAGGAGAAGAACAACAAAAAAGGAUUGUUGUUUUUUAAGACAAAAAUAAGUCUCAAGGACCCUACGGCUGCAAAAACUGCAUCAAUCAUUCUGAAGCUACACCUGGCCUGACUCUGCGUCUACCUAUGACACCUUCAUGGAGGGGGGCUUCGUCCAAGCUUCUGCUGGCAACAACUUAAUGCUCACCUUCUCGGUUGUGACCGAAGGAUCCCUGGGGACUACCUGACGCCGAGGAAGCGCUACUGCACAGUCGCCCCAGGCACGGUGGCUGAAAGCCCCGGUACGUGAAUUCGCAACAGGCCGGUGGGUUAUUGCUUCGCUCAAUGCCAGGUGACUCUGGGGGUCCGACAGAGUCACCUAGAAGUCAGCUCAGAGAACAACCUGAGGCCUGUAGACCUGGUCCUGAUUAAAACACUCCACAGAAAGGACUGCAGUACCCCUCGCUGGGAAGGACCAUACCAAGUUCUCCUGACCACACCUACAGCUCUAAAAAUCGCAGAGAGACCAUCCUGGAUCCACAAGAGCCACUGUAAGCCAAUAUUACCGUUACAGGAGCCAAACCAACCGACGGGGUAACAGGGGAAUGACCGGAUACAAAGGGGCUGGUGACCCAUAGGGCUCAGCAUCUCAAACCGGUGAAGAAAACAACUGGCCUGUGCCCAACUUAGCAUGGCUUUUUGUAACAUGUGGACAGGACUGAUAAGCCUGAGCCUAUUUCUGGUAGCAGGACUCUUUCUCUUUUUAAGGCAGGAUCCACAGGAUGCAACAUCACACGAGAAGAGAUGGACACCAGACGGCUUUCAUCUUAGACCUCUAAAGAAAGGAGGAGGACAUCUGUUUCUGCAGAACUAUUGGUAUCGUUAUGUGUACAAACAGCUAAAGUACAAAAUAAAACAGACUGUUAUGUAUAUUCUAUCAUGCCAGUUCAUUCCCCAGGCCCUACAGUAUAUGUGAGAAAAAUGAAUUUCACAGAAGCAGCCUGUGCCUUCUCAGUAGGACUCUGGGGGUAUGCGAAACGUAUACAUUUUACUGUUCCCAGUCAAAACCUGACGGAAGGAGAAGGCAUCCAAGUGGUUCAGUCCUAAAAGGUAUCACAUUUAUUACUGGAAAUGCCCAGUGAUGUACUUACUGACUUAUCCAGGGUGUACCCUACCUCUUGCCUAGUGACUGCUGGAGCUGGGCACCAGCCCACCCCAUGCGACCAUGCAAGGAUGGAUGUAUAGAUAGGUGGAUGGAUGGAUGGAAGGGCUUCUUACAGGCCCAUGCUUGUUAUAAUUAUGUGGCUAAUGUGAAACCUUGUUGAUUUAAACAUUAUAUUUAGUUAAUGUUAUUAUUUCAUCUGAAUCUCCUGAUUUAAAUCUCAGUUGUACUAACUCUUCACAAUCUGCCAUUUUGUUUGGAGUGUAAUGAAAGUCUUAAGCAUUUUAAGUGUUGCUUCUGUUAGACCCACCUCGUUUUGUCUGUGUACAUGUGGGGUACAACCUAAUUUAAGUAGAAAAAGUCCAGCUGUGGUAAGCAUACUUCACCACCUAUCUGUCUGGAAUGGACAGAAGGACAGACAGACAGAUUGCUGAUAUUAACAUGGGUCCAGUAGGUACUGAAAAGGAAUAUAAAUUUCCAGUAUGACAUGAUCAUUUUGCCAACUGCUUAAGAAAAGAUGCUCUUGCUGAUCCAGUUUGCCAAUAUUUAAAUGAUGUACUAUGCAUAAAUUUAGGGGAAGGUCUGGCCAAACAGUUGUGGAUCCAUAAAGACCUUAGCCCAUAUUCAUAACAAAUCUCAUAAUUUCUCAAGUUUUAAGAUUUUUCUUAGAAUUUGACCUUGGCAACAGUUAUUCACAAAGCACCUUAGGCCGUGAACUCUUCAAGUGAGGAAAUGCUAAGAGUAGUGAGCAGGACUUUUAGUGAGCCUGAGUGUCUCAAGCAGAGAAGGUGGUGGAAAGACCAACAGAAAGGAGAUAUAUUCAGCCUGUAAUGAAUAACACCGAAUUAAUAAAACACUACCAGUUUGAUCAUGCAGGGAUUCACCCCUUU